UACAGAGGGUGCGAGCGUUGUUCGGAAUUAUUGGGCGUAAAGGGCGCGUAGGCGGUGCGGUAAGUCACCUGUGAAAUCUCCUGGCUCAACUGGGAGCUUGCAGGCGAAACUGCCGUGCUGGAGUGUGGGAGAGGUGCGUGGAAUUCCUGGUGUAGCGGUGAAAUGCGCAGAUAUCAGGAGGAACACCAAUAGCGAAGGCAGCUCGCUGGGACGUUACUGACACUGAGGCGCGAAAGCGUGGGGAGCGAACAGG
rnacentral:rRNA from 1 species